UACCACAAAAACUUAUUUUAUACUUAAUAAAAGUAUAAUAUUAACUCCAAGUGUUUGUUUAAUCUAUCAUUUUGACGCAAUAUGCAUUCUACAAAACUUUUUUCAAAGGUCCAACCGUCAAACUUAUUUGUACACAUUCCAAGAUCGCAUACAUAAAAAAUCGUAAAAAACAAACAUUCAGAGAUUACGUAAUGGAACAAAAGUUUUCGAC
rnacentral:lncRNA from 1 species